UCCCGAAAAACAGACAUGACCAGGGCAGUGAGGAUCGGGACUCAGAUAUAGAGGAUGGAGGUUCUGAACCCCGUGUGGAUUGGAGUUCAGAUAUAGAUGAUGAAAGCCCAGGACCAAACCUGGCUAAAAGACAGAAGAAAAGAAGAAAAAGAAGAAGGCGGUGGUGAAAGAAAGAGAUGGAGAGGCUGACCACCUCUCCCCAAAAGACUCUUGAGCACUGCAGUGGGGAUGGGACUUCAGAUAUGGAUGAUCAAAGCCCAGGACUAAACCUGGCUAAAAGACAGAAGAAAAGAAGAAAAAA